AUUGAACGCUGGCGGCAGGCCUAACACAUGCAAGUCGAACGAGCGGCGGACGGGUGAGUAAUGCAUGGGGAUCUGGCUGAUGGAGGGGGAUAACUACUGGAAACGGUAGCUAAUACCGCAUACCAUAGGAUGAGCCCAUGUGGGAUUAGGUAGUUGGUGGGGUAAAGGCGCACCAAGCCGACGAUCUCUAGCUGGUCUGAGAGGAGGACCAGAUACACAGGGACGGUGAGACGGCCAUGCCGCCUAAGGGAGGCAGGAGUGGGGAAUAUUGGGCAAGGGGGGAAUCCUGACGCACCCAUGCAGCGUGAAUGAAUAAGGGCUGCGGGUUGUAAAGUUCUUUCGGUAUCUAGGCGUUAACUACAGAAGAAGCACCGGCUAACUCCGUGCCAGCAGCCGCGGUAAUUC
rnacentral:rRNA from 1 species